rnacentral:tRNA from 1 species
GGUAAGGUGGCCGAGAAAUAGGUGGUGGGUUGUAGCCCCGUGUACAGAGGUUCAAGUCCUCUUCUUACCA